rnacentral:lncRNA from 1 species
UGAUGUUGAAGGGGAUUCCUGACGAGAUUACCCGCCUUCUUGAGUAUGAAAAGAAGAUCAUUCAGCUGUAUCCCGAGAAUCAGCAAAAUAGUCAAACUGGGGCAUUACAAAUGUAAUAAAUAAAUAAAAAAGAGGGUGAAAAACAAAAUGAAAAAAGUCAAAAAUCAAAAAAAAAAUUCAAAAAAAAGGAAAGAAAAAAGAAGUAUACCC